ACGGCUAAAGAAAUCUAUUCACAUAUUUUUUUUAAAGUAAUAUCCCUGGUUGUUGUGUAGCUCUCAGCAAGGACCAGGUGCUUCCUGCACAUUGACAAGCUGCUUCUUGGAGAAGAAAGAGUGCUCUGGAAAUUUACAGAUGAAAGGGAAAAGAAAACGUCAUCAUGGUCAGCUCUCAGCAAGGACCAGGUGCUUGCUGCAGAUUGACAACAAGCUGCUUCUUGGAGAAGGAGUGCUCUGGAAAUCUGCAGAUGAAAGGAAAAAGAAAAUGCCGGCAGAGACGGCGGCAGAGGCAGCGGCAGAAGCGGCAGCGC
rnacentral:lncRNA from 1 species